rnacentral:tRNA from 1 species
UUAAUCAAAGCCAAAAAGAGGCAUUUCAUUGUUAAUGAAACUAUUGAAUAAAAAUUCUGAUUAAA